rnacentral:rRNA from 1 species
UACGAAGGGGGCUAGCGUUGUUCGGAAUUACUGGGCGUAAAGCGUAUGCAGGCGGAUCGUUAAGUCGGGGGUGAAAUCCCGAGGCUCAACCUCGGAACUGCCUUCGAUACUGGCGAUCUUCGAGUCCGGGAGAGGGAUGCGGAAUUCCAGGUGUAGCGGUGAAAUGCGUAGAUAUCUGGAGGAACACCGGUGGCGAAGGCGGCAUCCUGGACCAACACUGACACUGAGGAGCGAAAGCCAGGGGAGCAAACGGG